AGAAUCAACGCUGGCGGCGUGCCUAACACAUGCAAGUCGAACGCGGUUAUUUCAGCUCCGCAAGGCGUUGGGAUAACUGAGUGGCGAACGGGUGAGUAACACGUGGGUGAUCUACCUUCGAGUGGGGGAUAACGUUCCGAAAGGACGCUAAUACCGCAUGACGUUCUGGGUUUGAAGACCUGGAAACCAAAGCCGGGGACCGCAAGGCCUGGCGCUUGAAGAGGAGCCCGCGUCCGAUUAGCUAGUUGGCGGGGUAACGCCCACAAGGCGACGAUCGGUA
rnacentral:rRNA from 1 species